rnacentral:lncRNA from 1 species
GGCUAAGAAUUAUCACAUGCAAAGAAAAAACUACACACAAAUUAGGGAGCUUUCAGCUACCAACAGAAGAAACCUAAGACUCCUCCAGUUUUAACAACAGCCUCCUGUUUCUGACAAUUUCUUGUCACACAAUUUUAAAAAGUGGAAGUCACAGAUUUAUUUUUUUUAAUCCUUUUCACAGAAUAUGAUUUGAAUGACACCAUUUGCUUUCCAAGCUUGAUCAUCAGAUGCACAAAGAAAGGCAUCAGGUACUAAUAGAUUCUUGGACAGGUUUUUCUUCAUCAUCAUCUUCUGCGGGUUCUUCUUCCUUUUCUUCUACUUUCUCUGCCUCAGGGAGAAGUCCAUCAAGGUUCAAUAGUAAGCCCUCACUGGUUGAAGAUCUAAUAACCAGCUUCUUCACAAAGGGACCAGCACUUGAUGGUUUGAACUUGCAGAUAUCCUCAAUAAUUGUUUUUAGAUUGGCAACUAUCUGUUCAGUAGGCAUAUCCAGUCUUGCUAUCCUCGUCUUGAUUAGACGCUCAUCUUGGACCGUGUACUCAAGACCUUCCCUGAAGAACUGUAGCAUUUUGGGAAUAUCAUGGCCCAGGGAAUUUCUUCUCGUGCUGGGGUAUUUUCGUUUUAGCUUGUUCCUCAAUGGGAUCAGCUUAGGUAUUAUUGCAGGAACAGCUAUGUAGAAAUCCAUUUGAAUUUCAUCUUCCAAAAUCCAUUUGAUUAAUUCAACACCUCCCACAACAGCAGCUCCAUUCUCUCGAGCUAUUUCAGCUUCUUGCUCAUUCUCUGUGAAAACCAAGACCUUAUUCGUUUCAUCUGUAAAGCGGUAUGGAAGAAGAACAAUGCUUGCAAACUGAUCCACCUUUUUCUUCUUUGGUAGUUCCAUAUCUAGGGUCACAUUAAUAUACACAAACUGUUUUGGGUAGGUGAAGUCCAGUUCCUGAAAUUUCUUUAACAUACCCACAGCUUCUUCUACAUUGUAGGAUGGUCGCUUGUAGUACCACGUCAAGUACACAUCAUCCACAGGCUUGCUCAGCAGUGGCCGCCUGCCACGUCCUUUUUUCUUCUGAGUUUCUUCCUGCUUGGCCUUCUGUGAAUCUCUUUUUGCAUUUUUGGCGGCCGCGGCGUAGAGGCGGGCGGGCGGCGCGGCGCUCAGCGGUGCGGCGGCGGGACGCUGCUGGAGGCCGGGCAAGGCCCACCGGCGGCACGGGGUCAGCACUCGCCGCAGUAACAGGCCGGCGGGAGCCGCCAUCUUGAGCAGCC